rnacentral:rRNA from 1 species
CGCGCCCCGUCGCCCGAACGCGCUCUUGCGACCCU